GAAGGUCAUUACUUCGCGUUCGUGCUUUACUCUUGCUUAUCUUAAAAGUUAUAUACAAUAACCGACCCUAAGUUUAACUAUCUAAAUUAACAUUUGCUAAUACAAUAAUCGUUCUGAGCUUACUAACAUGUCGUCGCGUUAAUUUUAUCAUAAUGAUCUUUUAUCUACAUCCGUCGAACCAUUCUGAAUGGUCGUUGUGAGAACUUCUCAAAACCAAGAACUUCUCACAUGCAUUAAAGCUGAAUUGUCCUACAUUGAAACAUUGAGGUUUUCGCUCUUUUGGAUUCAUUUUUUGUUGUUCGUCAUCAGUAUUGUUGAGAUGUCCUGAAUGCCGCACAUGGCGUACAGUGAUCAUUGCCAUGGAGUUUCUCGUAAGCUGCAUGGGGAUAGUUAUCAUGGGAAUCCAAAGAGCGAAUUUUGUAUGAUUUCAUUGUAGGCCAAUACAGCAAUAAAGCAUGUAACAAUCACUAACAUUUCUUCUCUCUUUAUCCUUGUUUUCAUAUCUAACCCGCCAUUACAACGAGGAAAAAUCCAUCGGAGAGGAAAGACAUGGCAGCGUAUUGGCCGAGAAAAGAUAAGUAUCAUGUUUUUGUAAAUAUUCUUAUUACUGAUUGCAAGGUGAAUCAGAUUAACUAAAUUUUUAACUAA